rnacentral:rRNA from 1 species
UACGAAGGGGGCUAGCGUUGCUCGGAAUUACUGGGCGUAAAGCGCACGCAGGCGGUUCGCCAAGUUUGGAGUGACAGUUGUCGGCUCAACCGACAGAGGACUUCAAAAACUGGUGAACUUGAGGACGAGAGAGGAACAUGGAACUCCAGGUGUGGUAGUGAAAUGCGUAGAUAUCUGGAAGAACACCAAUGGCGAAGGCAAUGUUCUGGCUCGUUUCUGACGCUCAGGUGCGAAAGCCAGGGGAGCGAACGGG